rnacentral:rRNA from 1 species
UACAGAGGUGGCAAGCGUUGUUCGGAAUUACUGGGCGUAAAGGGCGCGUAGGCGGCCUUCUAAGUCGGACGUGAAAGCCCCAGGCUUAACCUGGGAACUGCGUCCGAUACUGGAAGGCUUGGAUUCGGGAGAGGGAUGUGGAAUUCCAGGUGUAGCGGUGAAAUGCGUAGAUAUCUGGAGGAACACCGGUGGCGAAGGCGGCAUCCUGGACCGACAUCGACGCUGAGGCGCGAAAGCUAGGGGAGCAAACGGG